UGGACAGCAUCCAAAAAAACACAUCUCAACUCGAACAGGUUAACACUACUAUUUCCGUCCUCGGCCAAAUGACAAAACCAUACGUUACACCAGAUGAAUGGGCUGCCUUUUUUUCCACGUACACAAAUGGCACCUAUGGAGGUUCAGACCAAAUUUUGUAUGACUCACAUCUUCCCACAAUUCUCGUGAAACUCAUCAGCAACAAGUCGGUGGGCGAAGAAGGGCUACGAUACAUAGUCGCCUGGAGCGUGUACAGGCAGCUGGCCCAGUUCACUGACCCAUACAUGUUUCUUCGGGGCAGGACUACAAGCGAUGCUUGUUACGAGCACGUUAGAAAAGUCAUGAAUUUGGCGGUCAUCAGCCCCUUUUUCCUGUCUGAUCGCCGCCCACGAGUUUAUGCACGCGUUCGAUGCACAAGGCAUAACAACUUUUGGAGGUGAUAACAGGCAAAACGGGGAAGCGUUCCGGAAGGAAUAUACAAAACGGGCCCUGUGCCUGCGGAAGUCACAUAG